rnacentral:lncRNA from 1 species
GAUGCGAAAAGAUAAAAAUUCUAAGUCAUUUGAUAAGAAUAAUAUAAAUAAAAUAAUUAGAAAUUAAGCGAGUAUAAAUAAUGAAAUAAAAUUAAUAUUUUUAACAUUAAUUAUCUAAUCAUUAAAUUUUUUUACUAAAAAUUUGAGUAGUUAAAAUCUUAUUUAUUUGCUAAAAUUUUUAUUUGUACAUAUUUUGACCCCCUCCUGAUUGAAUCCUGGCUUCGUCGCUACUCACCAACAUCCUCAGCUGCCUCGCCUUGCCUCGCCCUACUCCGCCGCCUCGCCCUCGCUCUCGCCCUCACGCACUUCUCUGUUCGUGCCUAGACACGGGGUGUUUGGCCUAGCUUUUAAAAAGCGCUUUUGGGCUGAAAAGUAAUUUUCGGCUCAAUAGAGCGUUUGGCAACUCACUUUUAGAAUCUGAUUCUGCUUUUUAAAAUCAGAAAACUGAUUUUGAAGGCCUCAGAAUCAGAAGCAGAAAAAAGCUGCUUUUUGAAAACUGAUUCUGAUUUUGGAUUUAAACUUCAAAAUUUUAUUUUUAUUUUAGUUUUAAUAUUUAAAUUUAAUUUUAAUUUUAAAUUUUAAAAUUUAAUUUUCAGAUUCAUUUUAAAAUUUUUAAAUUUUAACUUUUAAAUUUUAAAAUUUGAAAUAUAGAUUUUAAAUUUUAAAUUUUAAUUUUAAAUUUCAAAUCUCAAAU